CAGCAACUAGGCAACCGAGGACAUGUACAGUAACAAGCAAGAGUUGCUUCGGGGCUGGAAGCUGCCUUCCCCAGCAGAGGUGAUGGGGCAAAUGCUCAAAGACCUGAGAUUUUUAUUUUCUCUUAUGUGGCUUCUCAGUUGGUUGCGUUGCAGGAUAAAGAAUCACAGGUGUUUGUGGCAACGAAGAACAAAAUGACCACCGUUUGGAGCGCUCGCUGCCAGGCUUCAGGUUAAGGUGCCAGGAGUUUUACCCCAACACCGAGGGAAAGACAAAUGCAACAGUAUCCUAACCAGCCUCCCUUUCCCACCUAUACCUCGUAGGCACAUGGAGCUACUUCUCACUGUUGGAGCAGAUUCUGAUGCGCCUCAACAGUCAGUUCCUCUGUUCUCCUCACCCAUUUAUCUUCGGAUCUGGGAGGUCAUCUCCUCUGGAAAGCCAUGACUCCCUGAAAUGGGGUCAGGUUACCCUGCUCGGCACUUGCACAGCACCCGUUUACCAGGGCACGGGAGCUUUAGUAAGGAGCUUCUGACAAUCGGGGCCCCUCUGGCGCCUGCCCCUCAUCUUGGCAAGCACUCAAGAGUGAUUCUCUGCUCACCACACUGACUCCUCGACUUUUAAGCUCCCUCCAUGAGGCUGACUGAUGCAACUUGGUAACAGCACGUUGAAUUUAGGCACCAAUGCCAUGCCUGUCAUGUGAGAGGUGUCUGUCUGAACGAAAAAGAUGAGAGUUUUACGUUUGCCCUGUGAGUCCCAGUCCUGAAUUCUCAACAAUCUCAAUGUGCCUAUCAUCUGGAUAAGGAUCCAGACUCCACCCAGAGAGAAGGCACCAUGGCCAUCACCCGAGGCAGCAGGGUCCAUGCCUGCUCUCUACUAGUAGGUCAUGCCAAUGUAGGUGUUCUCUCCCCUCUGGUCACACAAGAAAGGCCUCGGCUGCCCUCACUGCCGCCCAGCACUGGAGCCCACCGGGGUGACGGUGUUCCAGGCCCCUUUCCAGCCCUCUGGCUAGCAACUGCACCAUGCCUUUCCCCCUCUGGGUUCAGGUGACAUUUAAGCUUAGCUGUGCUUUUUCCACACCGUGUGACACCACAUUUUUAUGGCAAUAUAAUCUACUGAGGGGAAACUGACUGCCAGAAAAUUGGUCCCUUUUCUUAGUGCAUCCCAGCAAUACCACAUUCUACUGGGACUUCUGAUUUUCUUACUAAGAACUCCUAUUAAAUAAACUAAGUUCCUGGAGAACAGUGCGCAUAUUAUCCCCAGUAACUACCAUGGUACCUAGAAUAUAGUAGGUGCUCCAAAAAAAGUAUCUGAAGGGAUUAAAUGAGAUAUUAUAAAGUUCUUACCACAGUGACUGGGACACAGGACACAGCGGAAGCCGAUCUGAUUUUGAUAUAAUGACACUGACAACAAUGUUAGGGUUUACGCAGAGAUUCAGUAAUUUUUUGCUCUAUUGGCCUCGUUGACAAUGUGCAAAGUGUUAUUUGUUAGGACCCAGUGAUCUUAGCAUGUGUCCAAGGGCAGUGAGAAAUGACACAGUUAAUGAAUCUUAAAACCCUCUGUUCGUUCUGCUCUUGGGUGAUAAAUUUUUGUCAUUCAUUUCCACUGUCUUCCCAGGAUUUCACUGUAGACUCACAGCUAAAAAGCCACGUAGUCACUGAAAUCCAUGGGCCCUCAUUUGAUUACUUGUGCUGCACAUUUUGAUUAGGCACAGCCAACGUGUUUCCAGGCAGGGCAAGUUAUCCCCACAGAAUGCACAGCGAACCCCUCAGAAGACAGUACUGACCAGUUUAAUAAAAGGGGUGGCGGUGAUCCUGGAGUUUCAGAAACCACUUGACAGAGUUCCAUAUCAAAGGUUAACAGCCAGUGUAGGACAGCCAUAAACUGAGAGGGAAAUUGGGAUUAGACUGAGAAAAGACUGACCAACAGAAAACAAAGAAAAUGUUCGAGGAGGACCGGGAAGUCUUACAUGCCGCCUGAGCUGGUGAUGAAUUCCAGGAUUUUUAGGUUACUCUAAAACAUCUGAAGGGAAAGCACUCUGGGUACUUGAGGCGCACAGACCCAUUAGAAAAAGAGACCGUAAUGAAACACUGGAAAGAGAACUAGCACAUCCAGCCUGGCACGUGAAAAGAGUCAUUCCCUGAACUCUGAAAUGGUAACUUGCUAGAGCACUUGGAAUGAGAGCUGGAAGGAAACUCUUAAAAGGUCAACCUAUGAAGUUCAGCAAAGAAGAACGUUUGUAAGAGGAGGACAAACAGAAGACUGUUUUGUCAACUAAGGAUUACUUUGAAAAAAUUCUUCCUUGAGAGGGAAAUGGAAAGGUGAUAUGCAAACCACCAUUCUGACAUAACUUUUGUUUUUCCCCAAUUAGCCCUGGUAAUAAGGCAGAACUAAGCCGUUUCGGUCAAGUAAAGGGAAGUAAUGUGA